rnacentral:misc_RNA from 1 species
AAGAAUGGGACGAGUUUACUCUCAGUAUCGCGACGACCCUCGGCGGGUUAGGAGUCUCGAAUUUGGUGGUGUUAUUCUGUGCAUGUUGAGAAACAGAAAACUUACAGUAGACGAAAGGCAAGCCGUGUGAAAUAUGAGAAGGUCUCUUCAAAGAUGUCGGUGACCAAUCUGAGAGCGUAACCAGCCAUAUUCAUCAAAAUACGUGCAUUAUUGCAUUAUUGUUUUUUCAAUCCUGAAAGUCCAGAAAAGCUUAUGAAGAGGGAUCCGUGUGAAACGAAUCUUAUAAAAAAUCAAUCGGAAAAGUGUUUCUGUAAUACGUGUUGUUGAGCGUUUUCUCACCUCUGCGCAAAUGUAAUUUGCAAUACAAUUUCAUGUCCAACCAUGUGUAAUAUAUAUGUGUAAAAAGUGUUUCAUAUACUUCCCAUUUCCCGAUACCUCUCCGCGUCAACUAGGAUCGAAGAGAAAUCUAAUCUGAGGAGAAGUGUUAUAGCUAGAGAAGAACAAGACAAUUGUGAAGCUGUAACAUUUAUUAUCGGAAAGAAUAUACUUUUGAGUUACGCGAAUGUAUAUGCGCGCCAUAUUGAUGGCGCUGCAGUUCCUUCUCUUGUUCCCUGCAAUUGAUGGCGUGAUUUUGACAUGAACGUACAAAUGAUUAAUCACAGAUACGUGUAUGUAACAAUAGUAACGCCGUUCUAGUACGCCUUUUCCGAUAUUGCUGUCUAUUUGUUUGCUUUUUGGUCUGUUGCGGUGGUCUGAUGAUUGUGUGAUUUGUCUACGAACGUGAUUAAUCCCAGGUAAUUCUUUUUCGAAAAUGUAUCAGCUAUAAAAGAUUUUACAAAACAUUUCAGCCUGCUAUUUAUCAUAAUUUUCAUUCUUGCUUGAUAAUUCGUGAUAAAAUAAAAUAUAUUAUUCUUGCAAUGUAAUCUCAAAGUCUAUCUUAUCAAGCAUGUGAGCUAAAUAAUAUAAAAUAUAUUUUACAGAUACUCCGAAAGUCCAAUUUCUUUCAUUUGCUUUCUGGCCUGUUGAUUUCAAUUUUAGUUCUUGCAAUUUGACAUUUUGCAACAUAAUGUUAAACACUUUGAUUGUUUUGAAUAUUGAAACACUUGAAAAGGACCAAAUACUGUUAGUUGAAACGUUGUGUCACUAAUUAAUAAAAGUUGUGCCAGUUUGGUCGAAAAAUUAUUGAAAUUAUUUAUUUAAACAUCCAUUGGCGAAGAAAUUAGAGUUAUUCAAUACUACUUAAUUUGACUAAAUCCACAAGACAUGAAACAUUAUGGACUUUAAAUAAUUUUGAAUCCUCUUGAGUUUGCUAAAUGACCAUUCUGCAGAAGCUACUGUUGCAGAAAUUGUUAAUAAUAUUCUUAAGCUAACACAAAUAUUUGGAAUCAGGUCAUCUGGUUUGUACUCUAUCUAAAGUUCUAUUAGAUAAGCCAUGAACUGUUGCAAUAACGUGUAAUAACGAUAAUUUAAUUUUUCUUCUUAUUCAUAUUAUAUAUCCUUGUAUAUUUAUUGAGAUGAUUGUGUGACUUCUCUACAAUCGUGAUCACUCUCAGAACAAGACAACAAAAUAAUGAAUAGAAAGCGACCAAGAAAGGACAUUUUAUAUAUAUCAAAGAGACACUGCAAUCGAUUAGCUGCGCAAGAAUCAGAACUUGUGUGAUACGAAAAUCACAUGUGGAUGCAACGGAUGAGCAAAUUUCAGCCCCGAUCAAAAUAUGGCUAGUUCAUGCCAAAGAGCGUAUAGAAAAACAACACCGCAACACAGAUGAAACAUCUUAAUUAUGUUUUCUUAAUUAUGUUAUACAUGUGACAUAUAUUUUAUAUUCUCUCCUCUUUAAUAUUAAUAUUAUAUUAAUUUAUUUAAUAGGAAGAUACAAUGUA